UUCCCUGCGCGGCAAGUGCGCUCGCAACUGCGCCUUCUAUAAUGGAUUUUAAUUGUUCAUUGGUCAAUGCCAUGUUUGAACUAUUUUGUUGUGAACUUUAGUUUUUGAAAUUUGUGUAAUGCUUCGAUCUAUCUAACGAUCAUAUGAUUUUAACACAAAGAAUUUUGUUCCUUUUGUAUUUAAUUUUUUCUAAAAAAAUUUUCUGAACUUGUGCCUUUUUUUUGACUGUUGGGUUGCAUUGGAGUGCAUUGUCCGCUGACUGCGCUGACCGAAGGCGUACAUACAUACAAACGAGAAAGUAGGAGAGCAUUUGCAAGACGUAAAAGAAUAAGAAUCGAAAGGAAACAAAAAACACAUUCAUACAUGGACUGCAGCAGCGUGACUUGCAGUAAAUUUUUACUUUACAACUCGUGUUAAAUUUAAAUAAAUACUUUUUGUAGCAGAGCCACGCUUCAAAUUUUUUUAACAAUCUUAUUUUAUACAAGCGCCGGUGUAAAUUUCGACUGUCUGGAAUUUAUUACCGUGGAGGAAAUUAAGGAUGCGAUUCCGCCAAUCGGAAUUAGAGUACUCUUCCGCGAAAAGCUGUUCGCUUGGAGGAAAACAAAGUUUACUCUUCGCAGCCAUCGUCUCCAAAGCCAUCGCCACAAAAGGCACCGCCAGCACUUUUAUCUCCGUUGCCAUCUAAUGCGCCUAAAUUCAAAUACACUCUUAACAAGGUAUGAGUCUUUAAGUUCUAAUAAUUAUGUAUAUUUUCAGUAUAAUUGAUAACCAAUAACCGAAUCUAAUAUUAAUUAUAACACCAAAUUUUUGAAAGAGCUUGAAUAAAAUUUUAAGUGGAAAGG